rnacentral:rRNA from 1 species
AGCCACUGCUAUCGGGUUCCGACUAAGCCAUGCGAGUCAUGGGGUCGUAAGACACCGGCGCACGGCUCAGUAACACGCGGAUAAUCUAUCCUCUGGUGGGGGAUAACCUCGGGAAACUGAGGCUAAUACCCCAUAGAUAUUCAAUGCUGGAAGGCUUGGAUAUUGAAAGCGCAAGCGCCAGAGGGUGAGUCUGCGGCCUAUCAGGUAGUAGGUGGUGUAACGGACCACCUAGCCUAAGACGGGUACGGGCCUUGAGAGAGGGAGCCCGGAGAUGGGUUCUGAGACACGAACCCAGGCCCUACGGGGCGCAGCAGGCGCGAAACCUUCGCACUGCGCGAAAGCGCGACGAGGGGAACCCGAGUGCCUCUCCAUUUCGGGGAGGCUUUUCACAAGCCUAAAAAGCUUGUGGAAUAAGGGCUGGGCAAGACGGGUGCCAGCCGCCGCGGUAAUACCCGCAGCUCGAGUGGUGGUCGCUUUUAUUGAGCCUAAAACGUUCGUAGUCGGCCUUGUAAAUCCCUGGGUAAAUUGGGCCGCUUAACGGUUCAAAUUCCGGGGAGACUGCAAGGCUAGGGAUCGGGCGAGGUCAGAGGUACUUUCGGGGUAGGAGUGAAAUCCUGUAAUCCCGAAGGGACCACCUGUGGCGAAAGCGUCUGACUUGAACGGCUCCGACGAUGAGGAACGAAGGCUAGGGGAGCAAACCGGAUUAGAUACCCGGGUAGUCCUAGCUGUAAACUCUGCCCGCUUGGUGUGGCCUGUCCUUCGGGGGCAGGCCGUUCCGGAGCGAAGGUGUUAAGCGGGCUGCUUGGGGAGUACGGCCGCAAGGUUGAAACUUAAAGGAAUUGGCGGGGGAGCACCGCAACGGGAGGAUGCGUGCGGUUUAAUUGGAUUCAACGCCGGAAAACUCACCUGAGGAGACCAGCGUAUGUGGGUCAAGCCGAAGACUUUACCCGAACAACAGCUGGAGAGGUGGUGCAUGGCCAUCGUCAGCUCGUACCGUAGGGCAUUCACUUAAGUGUGAUAACGAGCGAGACCCCCAUCCCUAGUUGCUAACCCCUCCGAAAGGAGGGGUGCACUCUAGGGAGACCGCUUCCGCUAAGGAAGAGGAAGGAGGGGUCGACGGUAGGUCAGUAUGCCCCGAAUCCUCAGGGCAACACGCGCGCUACAAAGGA